rnacentral:rRNA from 1 species
GGAGGGUGCAAGCGUUGUUCGGAAUUAUUGGGCGUAAAGAGCGUGUAGGCGGUUCGGUAAGUCAGAUGUGAAAGCCCUGGGCUCAACCCAGGAAGUGCAUUUGAAACUACCGGACUUGAGUACGGGAGAGGAGGGGGGAAUUCCCGGUGUAGAGGUGAAAUUCGUAGAUAUCGGGAGGAAUACCAGUGGCGAAGGCGCCCCUCUGGACCGAUACUGACGCUGAGACGCGAAAGCGUGGGGAGCAAACAGGAUUAGAUACCCUGGGUAGUCCACGCCGUAAACGAUGAGCACUAGGUGUAGCGGGUAUUGACCCCCCUGCUGUGCCGUAGCUAACGCAUUAAGUGCUCCGCCUGGGGGACUACGGUCGCAAGACUA